UUCAGUUUCUGAUUUGUUAUCAAAGGAAGUUGGGAAGGGGGGCCAGGCCAUGUGUGCUGGGCUGCUCCAUCGCCUCGAGGCUGGCAGGCCCCAACCAGCCAAAGAACAAUUCCACCGAAGUUCAACUUGGGAGAACCAAUGAAUUUAUUGGGCUUACUUAUGGAGCAUGGGUGAGGCUACUCACAGGAGCCUGGGAGGACACCAAAAUAAACACACCAUUAUCUUCUUCUACUUGCCAUUUCUUACCCAUACUCCCCCUCUCGGGAACGGACUGGACAAGCUGGCUGGACCUGACAAAAGUCCCCACAACGUGGGCUACAACAUGGUAGGUAUAACUUAGUAUUUCCCAAAGAUUCCUGGUCUAGGGGCUCAGUUCCACGUUUGGUUGAGUCAUGAAGAGAUGGGAAGAAUGUGAGGGUUUUGAUACACAUACCAUCUUCACAAAUGGAGUAACAGUCUCUAGGAAGUUGAACUGUAUCUGGCAGUGUGCGAGCAGGCUUAACGUGUAAGCCUCUCCCGCUUCCUGUCCUGCCUCGUGAGCCACCGUCACAACACCCACCACAGGCUUCAGCAGAGCCCUGUAGACCAAGCCUUUACAGACAUCUGAAUCAAGCACCAGCCUCGGGUGCUGUUAUGCAAUACAAAACAGACAAAGACAAUUAACAGCAGCAGGGCAGCGCUCU